AGCUAUUUCUGCGUGAACUCCACUUGGAAUAACGUCUAGAAGAAAAAGUAAAACUUCUUGCCAUCGCUGCUAGUAUUUCGAAUUAAUUGAAUCAAAUCAAUCCAUUGGAUUUUUGAUAGCUUCGCUGGUUGCAGCGGCAUCGGCUCCUCCGUAGUGGUUGCAGAUGCGGUGGCCGUGGCAGAUGCGAUCGCCAUCGCCAGCAGAGCGAAAAUAAAGAGAAUAGCAACCUGCUUCAUUUUAC
rnacentral:lncRNA from 1 species